rnacentral:rRNA from 1 species
UGAGGAAUAUUGGGUCAAUGGGCGCGAGCCUGAACCAGCCAAGUCGCGUGAGGGAAGACGGCCCUACGGGUUGUAAACCUCUUUUGCCGGGGAGCAACGCUGCGGACGUGUCCGCAGGUGAGAGUACCCGGAGAAAAAGCAUCGGCUAACUCCGUGCCAGCAGCCGCGGUAAUACGGAGGAUGCGAGCGUUAUCCGGAUUUAUUGGGUUUAAAGGGUGCGUAGGCCGGCUGUCAAGUCAGCGGUAAAAAUUCGGGGCUCAACCCCGUAAAGCCGUUGAAACUGGCGGUCUUGAGUAGCGGCGAGGCAUGCGGAAUGCGAGGUGUAGCGGUGAAAUGCAUAGAUAUCACGCAGAACUCCGAUUGCGAAGGCAGCAUGCCAGCCGCCGACUGACGCUGAGGCA